UUACCGAGUGCGGGCCCCUCGGGGCCCAACCUCCCACCCGUGUUGCCCGAACCUAUGUUGCCUCGGCGGGCCCCGCGCCCGCCGACGGCCCCCCUGAACGCUGUCUGAAGUUGCAGUCUGAGACCUAUAACGAAAUUAGUUAAAACUUUCAACAACGGAUCUCUUGGUUCCGGCAUCGAUGAAGAACGCAGCGAAAUGCGAUAACUAAUGUGAAUUGCAGAAUUCAGUGAAUCAUCGAGUCUUUGAACGCACAUUGCGCCCUCUGGUAUUCCGGAGGGCAUGCCUGUCCGAGCGUCAUUGCUGCCCUCAAGCCCGGCUUGUGUGUUGGGCCCCGUCCCCCCCGCCGGGGGGACGGGCCCGAAAGGCAGCGGCGGCACCGCGUCCGGUCCUCGAGCGUAUGGGGCUUCGUCACCCGCUCUAGUAGGCCCGGCCGGCGCCAGCCGACCCCCAACCUUUAAUUAUCUCAGGUUGACCUCGGAUCAGGUAGGGAUACCCGCUGAACUUAAGCAUAUCAA
rnacentral:rRNA from 1 species